rnacentral:rRNA from 1 species
GUAGUCUGCAACCCGACUACAUGAAGCUGGAAUCGCUAGUAAUCGCGAAUCAGAAUGUCGCGGUGAAUACGUUCCCGGGUCUUGUACACACCGCCCGUCACACCAUGGGAGUCGGAAAUGCCCGAAGUCUGUGACCCAACCUACGGGAGGGAGCAGCCGAAGGCAGGUCGGAUGACUGGGGUGAAGUCGUAACAAGGUAUC